UAAUUUCUUUAGCAAAAUAUUUGCAACAGGAGCGGUGUCUGCAGGAGCUCCUGCAGCAGGAGGGGCUCCAGCCUGGGGCCGGCUGCAGGAACCGAAGCUGCUGCUGCUGCUUUCCCUCUCCCAGAGGCCACACCGAGGGCUCGGGUGUCCGUUGGCUGCAUCUGGCUGAGGUGUGCGUGGGCUGUCUCUGGCUGCGUUCUCCUGGCGGCAGGUGGACGCUUGCUGCCUUUGGCGAGGAGCUGCUGCGGCGGAAGCCAAAGAGAUCAGAAGAAGGUGAAGCAGCUGAGGAAUGAGGACGGCCGUCCCUCUGUCUCUCUCCAGCUGCAAGCAAGAGAGAGCCGACCUCUGCGGGGGGAGGAGGGAUCCCUCUGCGUAGUCCUCGGCAGACCAGAUCACCAACGUGCACCGUGGGCUCUGUAUAUGCAAUGGCAAAUAUAGGGCGGCCCCGUAGUGGGUGGCUGUGUAUCUAGGAAGCCUCACGUUGUCAGCCACCAACGCGUUCUCUUAGGUGGAGGACAGGCAAGUGACUGGAGCUGCAGAAGGGGAAAGGCAGGAAAGGACACACAGACAGAGAAGGAAGUGCCAGAACUUUAAAGUUUGCCUGGUAGUGCAGAGAGUCAGAGCUCCGGUGAGUCCCAGGCCCUUGGGGCCAUGUCACCCCUCUUCUGCGCCCCUCAGUACCUCCCUGCCCCCUCCCCUUUCUCUCUGUGUAAUUUUUUCUCACUUCCCUGUACCUCUUCCCCUAUCUCUAUUUUUGUGUCCUGCCCCCGUCCCUCUCUUUUCUCCAGGUCCCUCUUUCUCUUUUGCUCUACGUGUCCCUUUUGGUUCCUUGCUGUCCCUCUCUCCUCCUCCCUGCCCCUCUGGUUUUUUCUUCCUCUCUCUCUGCCCUGCAGCCCAUUGCCGUUGUUGUCUUCUCUGACUCUUUGUCCAGAUCUGCAUCACGCUCUGAUUUUCACAGUCUCUCUGGCCUGUGCCUUGUCCUUUGUCUCUCUCUGCUUGUAUGUCUCCCUCUGUGUCCUUAUCUGCCUGCCCCACCCCGCCGUCCUUCUGCUUCUCUUUCUUUCUCUCUGUCGCUCUGUCCUGCUCAUCCCUGUCUUUUUUCAUUCUCUAUGCCACUGUCCCUGUCCUUCUUCCUGUCCAUCUCUUAUCUCUCUGUCCCUCUCUGCUGCUCCCUGACACUUUGGGUUUUUUGCCCUUCCUCCACCUCCCUGCAGGGCUCCUGAUACCUCUUUUGCUUUCCCCAUCCUUCCCGUGCUGCUCACCGUCCCUGUCUUUCUCUUUGUCGUCAUUCUUGUCUGUCACUCUGGCCUGCCCCCUGCCCCAGUGUUUCUCACUAUAUCCUUCUGUCCUGCUCCCUGCCCCUAUUCUUUUUUGCUCCCUAUCCAUCUUGCUGCCCACCCCAGGCUUUUUUUGCAAUCUCUAUCCUGCCCCCAGUCCUUAUUUUUCUUUCUCUCUCCUGCCCCCUCUCCCUCUUUCUGCCUCUCUUCCUCUUUCCCUGCUGCUUCUUUUUCCAUCUCUGUCCAGACUCCUGUCCCUUUUUUGCUCUUGCUGUCCCUCUGUCCUUUUUCUUGUCCCCAUCUUUUCUGUCUUUCUGUCCCGUUCCCUGGCCCAUCCUUUCUCACUAUAUCCCCUUGUCUGUCCCUUCUUUCCCCGCUCUCUUGCGCAGUAUUUUUCUUUUCUCCAUCUCUCCAUCCUGCUGCCCAUCACGGUUGGUUUUUCCUCCCAUGCUGUCCUGCUCUUUGUUCCUUUUUUCUCUCCCUGUCACUCUGGCCUGCCCCCUUUGUCUAUUUUUUACUUCCUCCAUCUCAGUCCUGCAGCACAUCACUAUUUGUUGCCUCUUCCACCCCUUUGUCCUGCUCCCUGCCCCUGUCCUUGUCUCUCUUGCCUUUUGUUCUGCCGCCCAUCUUUUCCCCCUUCUGCUCCAUCUCUCUGUCCUGCUCCCUACUCCUCUCAUUCUCUCUCUGGUUCUCUGUUCUUCUCCCCGAGUCUUCCCCCUGCCCUCUACCUUUGUGUCCUGCUCCCUCUUCAGGUUUUGCCCUCUCUUAGUCACUCUUUCCUGCUCCCUGUCGCUGUUAUUUCUCACUCCAUCUCUGUCCUGCAGCUCAAUGCUCUUUUUUCCUUCUCCAUCUCUCUGUCCUGCUGCCCAACCCCGGCUUUUUUGCCUCCGUGUCCUGCUCCCUGUCUCUUUUUUUUUCGCCUGUCUUUCUCUUUGUCCUUCCUCCCUGUCCUUUUUUUCUCUCUCUGUAUCGCCUUGUCCUGCUCCCUGUCCCUGUCUUUCUCUGAUGAUCCAUGUACUUAUUGCUCCCUGUUACCGUCUUGCCCUGUCCCCCACCCUUCUUCUUGUCUUUUUCUUCUCUCUAUCCCUCUGUCCCUGCUGCUUCUCUCUCCACCCCUGUCCUGCUCCCUGCCCCCAUUUUUUCUGUCUUUAUUUCUCUGUCCUGCUGCCUGUCCCAUCGUUUCUUGCUAUACACCGCUGUCCAGCUGGCUCUCCCUUUUAUUUGUCCUCUCUUCCUCUUUCCUGCUUCUCAGCCCUCUUGUCCUCUUCCUCUGUCUGUCCUCCAGCCCAUUGCUGUUUCCCCCCCCUUCUCGGUCUCUUUGUCCAAAUCUGACCCUCUCUUUAUUUCUCAGUCCCUUUGUCUUUCUCCCUGUCCUUCGUUUUCUCUCUCCGUCUGUACGUCCCACUCCCUGUCCCUGUCUGUCUCCCUUUCCUUCUUCCUCUUUCUGGCCCCAUCUCUCUGUCCUGCUCCUCACCCCUACUUUGUCUUCCUCCUCCUCCUCUCUGCAGGGCACCUCAUCCCUGUUUGAUUUCUCCAUCUCUCUAGCCUUUCUUUCUCGGCUCCUUAGUCUUCUCCCUCAUCUUAGUGCUCUCCUUCUAGUCCUCUGUCCUCCCCAUCAGCUUAAACUGAAUGACCAGGUGUCCCUGUGCUCUGGUAUUUCCUUAGCAUUGCCCUAGGGAAGAUCUGUGGUUUUAGGGCUAGGGAUCAUUAGGAGCUGGUCUCCUUGUGUAGGUGGCAGAGCUAGGUGUAGUUAAAGCAGAGGUUGUUCUCAGCUGGUGCUCUCUGCCUCUGGCUCAAACAGCAGGCUGCGGGCCUUCACUUGAAGGAAGGUUUCUUGUUCUGCGCUUCUUGCUCCUCGGGACGCUGCACAGGAGUUGGUAGCAAGUAAAAGCACUUGCAGUUGGCUUUUUUAUGCAGUCUUCCUGUGGAGCUCUUGGUCUUGACUGAUUUCUGGGAAGCAAGACCUGAGUGCCUGUGCGCUCCUAGACGCUGUGCUGCCUCCCCAGAUAGGUCCGCCCUCCUCCACUGCUGCUUCUUCAUUCAGUCAGCGGCGAGGCCAGCAGAUGCAACGCUGUCCGUGGAGACAGGGGCUACUUAACUUCUCAACUUGAGCCUGUCCGUGAGCCUUGGGGUGAUCCCACAGAUGUGGCUGCAGGCGAUGGUUAUCCAGCUUCCUGGCUGGGUUUCAGGGCUGACCCACAGGCAGGUCGCAUGGACGUGGCCAGACAGAGGGCUUUUCCAGCUCCGUGGCUGAAUCCUGGGCUGAAUCCCAGCUGGCAUCCCAGGGAGACCAACCGUGAGAGUGUGCAGAAGGAGGCCUUUCAGAAGGGAAGCAGGCACACCGUGCCAGUCUCCAAUGAAGAAAGAGAGGCAAUGCAAGAGCAUGGCAUGCCAGGGGCAGAUGCUGGGAGAAGGUCUGAGGCUGCUGGUCACGAAUUGCUGCACAAGUACUAUAUCCCAGUGACCGCAGUAGCCUUGGCUGUGGUGCUGUCUGGGCUAGUUGGAUCUUGCAUAGUCAUUUCACGGCUGAGGAAGAGAGACCCAAGGAGCCAGGGAGAUGAAGCAGCACUGGGACAAGCUGAUACUGACUCUGCCUGGAAAAGUGAAGAUCCGACUAGAGAUAAAGGCAAAGCAGAGUCAGGAGAAGGAACAAGAAAAGUUGAGGUUGCUCAAGAAAAUGGGACUUUCAACAACAGCUCCAGCCCAUCACCAUGGCCUUUUGUGGCAGAGCUCACGCAGCUGUACAGGAGCACGAGCGCAGACCCCUCACCUCUGCCCGCUUGUCCCAGCUGCUCUUUCACCGACGAUACCUCUUCACUGGACACUUCGAUUUCUCUCGACUCACCUCAGCCUAACCCCUUCUGGUGUCCCUGUCACCAGUUCCAACAGGGAUACUGUACCUCAGAAGAUGAGUCUUUUUAGAGUAAAUAAAAAAAACAUUUUGGCCAAAA